UAACUUGGUUCACUCCUUGAAGCCUCCGUAAACAUUCUCGAAGCAGCGGAAUCUGAGCAAGGAGGAAACACUGUGCUUCUUGCACAGCCUCUCUUAGGGAGUGAAACGACUUCCCAGGAACCAGACAAUGCGUCAGUCAGCAAGGACCAAGCACUGUCAGAACCAGCUUUUGUGCGGAGGCUCUGGAAAGAUAGAAAAUGUCGUGAGUGUCUCUAUGGAGAGGAAGCCAAUGAAGUCAGGGUCAAAGUGAAAUGCACACAAGUUCGUCUGGCCCCAUCUCAGUCAGCAGGGGUAGCCGAGGACUCACACCAAGUAUUAGCCCUGGUGGCGUAUUUUCCUACAGUGGCAUGUAGUCAGAAUCGCUGCAGUUCCUGGCCACAACUAAGCAAGAAAAACCUGAGUUCUACCAGACACUGAAUGAACCUCCAGCAUCUAAGUUCUCGGAACCUAUCCUGCUUGAAGGGGCAUCAGGUAGCCAAGGGGCGCUGUGUCCAACAGGGUGCCUGAGGAUCCAUGCCCACCUUCUUGCUGAAGCCCUGUGUGCUCCUGAGCUCCCAAGUGUAGCUACUUAGUGCACCUUUCAAAGAACCUUCAGAUUCAGGACUCUUGGAACUGCUGGGCUGUAGUCAGACUGCGAUUUCCUACCGUGACAGCUGGGCUGCAACUCUUCGGUAGAUAAUGAUCAUUGUUACUCCAUGGUGUUGGACUCUCAAGGAGCUUUCCAACUUCAAAGUGCUUUAUGCACAUCAACUAAUUAAUCGGAGAUACAAAUGGUGCCAAGGCCCAGAGGGCUGCAACUGCUCAGAUCAAGGACAGUCUCUGUUGAUGGUGAUUUCUAGCCGUGAACACAACACACUUCAGUUGGUGCGUGAAGGGUGGAGUAUCAGCCAAGUAUCAUUGUCCCUGCUGUAGGCUCCUGCCCAGGAGCCAGGUCCAGUAAACCAGGCCUGCAUAGGAGGCUACAAGAGGAAACCAGAAACUCCUAUACAAGUGUGCAAAGCACUGGUGACCAAGAAACAAGCAAACACAGUCAUUACCUUGCCAUUAAAACAAACAAACAAACAAACAAAAAGAAUCCUGUGUAAUUCGCCAAAAGGGUCACAGUGAAACUAGCACUGUGUAAGUAAAGAAAUGGGUUCAGGAGCAAACAGCCCAGUCAGACUUAUGCAGAACUUAGAAGGGGGGGGGGGAGCAUGUUUGUAGGAGGGGGCAGAAUGUGUGCAUGACUGCAGAUAUCCAAGAAGACCCGAGGAUAGGGCUGGAGCCCUUGAAUCUGCUUUUCCAGCCAGUUGAGACUCUCCCAACAUGGAUGGUGGGAAUUUAACUCCAGUUCUCUGUCAUAGCAGCAAGAUCUCUUAACCGCUGCUUCGUACACAAAACCCCAAACUUCUAUUACUUAAUAUUUUAAGAAGUAUAAUUGUGAAGAGAACAAACUGAAAGAAUUGAUUGAUGGACCUAAAAUGAAGAGCAUGAAGUGGAAAUACCUGUUCCCUGAGAAAUUCAGGGGCAAGAGGUCAGUUUUCCUUUAAGGAGUUGGGGAUUUAAUUAGGGGGUCUCAAGUGUUCUAUGCAGCUCUGGAGCCUCCAGUGUAAUCUAGGAUGAUCCUCCUACCUCAGCCUCCUGAAUACAGAUUGCAAACCCAUUCCACCACGCCCGGUGUAUGUUACAUUUGGCACUGAGACAGUCCCUUGUGCGUGCUAGGCAAACGCUUUAUGAAGUGAGCCGCACUCCCAGCCCUGGAGGUGAAACUGCUUUUAAACUUUACUCGCUCACUUAUUUUCAUUAUUUUAUUGGGGUAUAAUUUGCACAAAUGAACUGAAUAUGAUUAACGUGCAAUGGAUUUGUGCACCACACUUCCAUAAGCGUGUAUCACAGUCAAGGUGACAAGCAUAGCCAUCACUUCUUCAAGUCUCUCUGUGUCGUGUUAGGAUCCUUCUGGCUGACCCCUUUUAACUUUAUUAGCCAGUGCCUGCUGAUCUCUCUGGUACCAUUUAGUUUACACUGUAUACAGAAAAUGACCUAAGUGGAAUCACGCAGUGCAUAAUCUGAACUCCUUGAUUUGGUGUGAUUAUUUUGAAAUCCAUCCACAUAUCCUGUUUCUUCCUGAUAGUAGUAUUUCCU